rnacentral:rRNA from 1 species
UUCCGGUUGAUCCCGCCGGACCUGACUGCUAUCGGAUUGAUACUAAGCCAUGCGAGUCUUUGUAGUAAUACAAGGCAGACGGCUCAGUAACACGUAGUCAACCUACCCUAUGGACAAGAAUAAUCUCGGGAAACUGGGCAUAAUUCUUGAUAGAUCAUAAUGCCUGGAAUGGUUUAUGGUUAAAAUGAUUCGUCGCCAUAGGAUGGGACUGCGGCCUAUCAGCUUGUUGGUGAGGUAAUGGCCCACCAAGGCGAUUACAGGUACGGGCUCUGAGAGGAGAAGCCCGGAGAUGGGUACUGAGACACGGACCCAGGCCCUAUGGGGCGCAGCAGGCGAGAAAACUUUGCAAUGUGCGAAAGCACGACAAGGUUAAUCCGAGUGAUUUCUGCUAAAGAAAUCUUUUGCCAGUCAUAAAACCACUGGUGAAUAAGGGGUGGGCAAGUUCUGGUGUCAGCCGCCGCGGUAAAACCAGCACCUCAAGUGGUCAGGAUGAUUAUUGGGCCUAAAGCAUCCGUAGCCGGCUUUGUUAGUUUUCGGUUAAAUCCAUGUGCUCAACGCAUGGGCUGCCGAAAAUACUGCAUGGCUAGGGAGUGGGAGAGGUAGACGGUACUCAGUAGGAAGGGGUAAAAUCCUUUGAUCUAUUGAUGACCACCUGUGGCGAAGGCGGUCUACCAGAACACGUUCGACGGUGAGGGAUGAAAGCUGGGGGAGCAAACCGGAUUAGAUACCCGGGUAGUCCCAGCUGUAAACGAUGCAGACUCGAUGAUGCAUUGGCAUAAUAGCCAGUGCAGUGUCGCAGGGAAGCCGUUAAGUCUGCCGCCAGGGAAGUACGUACGCAAGUAUGAAACUUAAAGGAAUUGGCGGGGGAGCACCACAAGGGGUGAAGCCUGCGGUUCAAUUGGAAUCAACGCCGGA